rnacentral:lncRNA from 1 species
CGCAAGACCGGUGCUUGUUACUCGAAAACGUACAUCAACCUCAAUUUCGGCGGCAAAAUAAGUUUGUUACUUCAUUUAAACGUGAUAAAAGCUGCCUCCAGUAAAUUUUAAUCCAUUUAUUGCAUUAAAAACGUCAUGUUCCUUUCCAAAUAACUUGUCAAACAUCGUUUAUUUUUGUAAAUUUUCUUGCAUUCGUCCGCCAUUGACCGAUUUCUAAUCUCCGGAUCUGAAGCGGACCAGCUAUGACCGAAAUCCGUACUUUUACAAUAAUUACUACGGACGCACGGAUGGAACAGCUGACAGAAGAAUUUUGAUCCCAAAGGGGAAAAUUACGCAUUCCACACGCAUUAAGAGACUUUUGGUUACAUCUAAUUGAUUGAU